CGGGUGAGUAAUGUCUGGGAAACUGCCCGAUGGAGGGGGAUAACUACUGGAAACGGUAGCUAAUACCGCAUAACGUCGCAAGACCAAAGAGGGGGACCUUAGGGCCUCUUGCCAUCGGAUGUGCCCAGAUGGGAUUAGCUAGUAGGUGGGGUAAUGGCUCACCUAGGCGACGAUCCCUAGCUGGUCUGAGAGGAUGAUCAGCCACACUGGAACUGAGACACGGUCCAG
rnacentral:rRNA from 1 species